UAUAUAUAUAUAUAUAUAAAAGUAUAAGUAAGUCUUAUAUUCAAUAAUGAUAUAAAAUUGCAAA
rnacentral:tRNA from 1 species